AAGACGUUUGCCGGGGGUUGACGGAAUCGAAAGCGGAUGUAUUAUUCGCGGCCCUUCGCAGCGGUGGUUAAGCGGAGCGAGGGGUUGGGUAGCGAUACCUGGCGCGGGUUGUACGGUGGUUUCGGGGUUGGUUUUCGGUGGAGUCGAAAGACGAGCGCCGGGGGUUGACGAAAGCGGAACCGGAUGUAUGAUUCGCGGCCCUUCGUUGAGGCGGUAAGCGCAAGCGGAGGGGGCGGCGGAAGUCGCAGGAAUAGAAAGGCUUUUCGUGGUGGUGAAGUUGGCGGCGGGUUCGAAAAGAAAGACGAACUUGGGUGUUGACGGAAACGAAAGGUGAUGUAAGAUAGGCGGCUCACCGGGACGAAAUGUUGCCGGGGUGGAACGAAGCGAAAGCGAGUUCCGACGCUAAAGAUCUUUGACAGUGUGCGCAGGUGUUUUGUGUGGGCGCCUUGGGAUGGACGAAGUCCAUCGAAGUAUCAAGGCGUCCUCAAGUAAGCAUGCAAAUGCAAGCAACAGGCCCUUAAAGUAAUUGACGUAAGUCAGAAGAUCUAACUGAAGAGUUUGAUCCUGGCUCAGAGUGAACGCUGGCGGCAGGCCUAACACAUGCAAGUCGAGCGGCAGCGCGGGGCAACCUGGCGGCGAGCGGCGGACGGGUGAGGAAUGCAUCGGAAUCUACCCUGUCGUGGGGGAUAACGUAGGGAAACUUACGCUAAUACCGCAUACGACCGAGAGGUGAAAGUGGGGGACCGCAAGGCCUCACGCGAUUGGAUGAGCCGAUGCCGGAUUAGCUAGUUGGAGGGGUAAAGGCCCACCAAGGCGACGAUCCGUAGCUGGUCUGAGAGGAUGAUCAGCCACAUUGGGACUGAGACACGGCCCAAACUCCUACGGGAGGCAGCAGUGGGGAAUAUUGGACAAUGGGCGCAAGCCUGAUCCAGCCAUGCCGCGUGUGUGAAGAAGGCCUUCGGGUUGUAAAGCACUUUUGUUCGGGAAGAAAUCGUGCGGAUUAAUACUCUGUACGGAUGACGGUACCGAAAGAAUAAGCACCGGCUAACUUCGUGCCAGCAGCCGCGGUAAUACGAAGGGUGCAAGCGUUACUCGGAAUCACUGGGCGUAAAGCGUGCGUAGGCGGUUCGUUAAGUCUGCUGUGAAAGCCCUGGGCUCAACCUGGGAACUGCAGUGGAUACUGGCGGACUAGAGUGUGAUAGAGGAUGGUGGAAUUCCCGGUGUAGCGGUGAAAUGCGUAGAGAUCGGGAGGAACACCAGUGGCGAAGGCGGCCAUCUGGAUCAACACUGACGCUGAGGCACGAAAGCGUGGGGAGCAAACAGGAUUAGAUACCCUGGUAGUCCACGCCCUAAACGAUGCGAACUGGACGUUGGUUGCAACUUGGCAAUCAGUGUCGAAGCUAACGCGUUAAGUUCGCCGCCUGGGGAGUACGGUCGCAAGACUGAAACUCAAAGGAAUUGACGGGGGCCCGCACAAGCGGUGGAGUAUGUGGUUUAAUUCGAUGCAACGCGAAGAACCUUACCUGGCCUUGACAUCCAGUGAACUUUCCAGAGAUGGAUUGGUGCCUUCGGGAACACUGAGACAGGUGCUGCAUGGCUGUCGUCAGCUCGUGUCGUGAGAUGUUGGGUUAAGUCCCGCAACGAGCGCAACCCUUGUCCUUAGUUGCCAGCACGUAAAGGUGGGAACUCUAAGGAGACUGCCGGUGACAAACCGGAGGAAGGUGGGGAUGACGUCAAGUCAUCAUGGCCCUUACGGCCAGGGCUACACACGUACUACAAUGGUCGGUACAGAGGGUUGCAAUACCGCGAGGUGGAGCCAAUCCCAGAAAACCGAUCCCAGUCCGGAUCGGAGUCUGCAACUCGACUCCGUGAAGUCGGAAUCGCUAGUAAUCGCGGAUCAGCUAUGCCGCGGUGAAUACGUUCCCGGGCCUUGUACACACCGCCCGUCACACCAUGGGAGUUGGUUGCUCCAGAAGUAGGUAGUCUAACCGCAAGGGGGACGCUUACCACGGAGUGGUCAAUGACUGGGGUGAAGUCGUAACAAGGUAGCCGUAUCGGAAGGUGCGGCUGGAUCACCUCCUUUU
rnacentral:rRNA from 1 species